UGGAAUCAUAGAUGUUGCCCUGGAUCUGGGU
rnacentral:piRNA from 1 species